GAAAUGCGAUAAGUAGUGUGAAUUGCAGAAUUCAGUGAAUCAUCGAAUCUUUGAACGCACAUUGCGCCCCUCGGUAUUCCGUGGGGCAUGCCUGUUCGAGCGUCAUUUACACCCUCAAGCUCUGCUUGGUGUUGGGCGUCUGUCCGCUGCGGCUUGCCCGCGCGGACUCGCCUCAAAGGCAUUGGCAGCGGUCUUGCCGGGCCUCCUAAUCGCGCAGCACUGUUCGCGCUUCCUGGAGUCUGCGUGAGACCAGCGUCCAUAAAGAGCCCACUUCGAACUUGACCUCGGAUCAGGUAGGGAUACCCGCUGAACUUAA
rnacentral:misc_RNA from 1 species